UAUCUCCCACAAAACUAGAUCUAGCCGCCCAUCCAGGUCUCUCCAUCUGUACUGUCCUUCCCUAUCCUUUCUUUUCUCGGGGGUUGUGAAUAUUGUUCAUAUGUUAGAAUACCAGGAAUUGAAGUUUGCUAAACAAUGAAGAAAAUGCUUCAAAAAUAGGGGGAUUUUUAUGGGAACAAGUUCUGCUCUCCUGCUGCCAAGAAGGCCGAUGCUGUUGACGUGGAGGCGUGAGAGUCGUUGGAUGUGAUCUGUUCUGCUAGUUUAUACUGUUUUAGUUUAAUGUGGUUAAUGGGAUGCAGGUCUAGGCUGUAGUAGUCUAGUCGUAAAAGUUCAGUAUUUUGGGUGUUUAGAUGGAUGGUUAAAUUUGAACUUGAUAGACAGCUGGGUGGUUUGUGCUUUUGCUAUAAAUUUUAACAGACUUAGGUACUUUCAUCUUUAUUCUUACUGUCAGUCUUAUACUAUAUU